AGAGUUUGAUCAUGGCUCAGGACGAACGCUGGCGGUGUGCUUAAGACAUGCAAGUCGUGCGGACCGUAGCAAUACGGUCAGCGGCGGACGGGUGAGUAACACGUGGAUAACCUGCCUGGCUCCCCGGGAUAACAGGCCGAAAGGCCUGCUAAUACCGGGUAAGCUCACGGGGCCGCAUGGUCCUGGGAGAAAAGCUCCUGCAAGGGAGUGGGGUCAGAGGGGUCCGCGGCCCAUUAGCUAGUUGGGGGGGUAACGGCCCACCAAGGCGACGAUGGGUAGCCGGCCUGAGAGGGCGACCGGCCACACUGGGACUGAGACACGGCCCAGACUCCUACGGGAGGCAGCAGUCGGGAAUUUUGGGCAAUGGCCGAAAGGGCUGACCCAGCAACACCGCGUGAGUGAAGAAGGCCUUCGGGUUGUAAAGCUCUGUUGCCCGUGAAGAACGGUGCUUUCAGGAAAUGGGAAGCACUUGACGGUAGCGGGUGAGGAAGCUCCGGCUAACUACGUGCCAGCAGCCGCGGUAAUACGUAGGGAGCGAGCGUUGUCCGGAUUUAUUGGGCGUAAAGGGCGUGUAGGCGGCUUUUUAAGUCUGAAGUGAAACGCCAGGGCUCAACCCUGGAACUGCUUCGGAUACUGGGAAGCUUGAGUACUCUAGAGGGCAGUGGAAUUCCGGGUGUAGCAGUGAAAUGCGUAGAGAUCCGGAGGAACACCAGUGGCGAAGGCGACUGCCUGGGGAGAAACUGACGCUGAGGCGCGAAAGUUGGGGGAGCAAACGGGAUUAGAUACCCCGGUAGUCCCAGCCGUAAACGAUGAGUGCUAGGUGUAGGGGGUAUCGACCCCCCCUGUGCCGGAGUUAACGCAAUAAGCACUCCGCCUGGGGAGUACGGCCGCAAGGUUGAAACUCAAAUGAAUUGACGG
rnacentral:rRNA from 1 species